rnacentral:rRNA from 1 species
UCAAGCUUUAAAGGGCACAGAGUGGAUGCCUUGGUGCUAACAGGCGAUGAAGGACGUGAUAAGCUGCGAUAAGCCUCGGGGAGCUGCACAAAAGCUUUGAUCCGGGGAUUUCCGAAUGGGGUAACCUGAUGGUGUUAAUACGCCAUCGUUCUUUCCUGAAUCAAAUAGGGAAAGACACGCGAUACCUGGUGAAGUGAAACAUCUCAGUAACCAGAGGAAAAGAAAGAGAAUCGAUUCCGUAAGUAGUGGCGAGCGAAAGCGGAGUAGCCCAAACCGGGAGUUUUCUCCCGGGGUUGUAGGACCCCGAUGUGGGACCGUAGACGAUAGGUGAAGGACCUGGAAAGUUCCGACAGAGAGGGUGAAAUCCCCGUAACCGAAAUCCGACGCGGCCCUAGGGUGUUCCUGAGUAACACAGCACACGUGGAACGUUGUGUGAAUCUGCGCAGACCACUGCGUAAGGCUAAAUACUAGUUAGCGACCGAUAGUGAACCAGUACCGUGAGGGAAAGGUGAAAAGAACCGCUGCGAGCGGAGUGAAAUAGAACCUGAAACCCUGUGCCUACAAGGUGUAAGAGCAGCUUCGGCUGUGAUUGCGUGCCUUUUGCUUAAUGAGUCUGCGAGUCAGUAUGUGUGGCAAGCCUAAGAUCUUCCGGAUCGGAGGCGCAGCGAAAGCGAGUCCGAAUAGGGCGACCAUAGUUGCACGUGCUGGACCCGAAGCGGAGGUGAUCUACCCUUGAGCAGGUUGAAGCGUCGGUAAUACGACGUGAAGGACCGAACCGGUGAAUGUUGAAAAAUUCUCGGAUGACUUGAGGGUAGGAGUGAAAGGCUAUUCAAACCCCGUGAUAGCUGGUUCUCCUCGAAAUGCAUUGAGGUGCAGCGUCGCGUGCUGAUUACCGGGGGUAGAGCACUGAAAGGGCUAGGGGGCAUACCCGUCUACCAAACCCUAUCAAACUCCGAAUACCGGUGAGUGGAGCGCGGCAGUGAGACGGUGGGGGAUAAGCUUCAUCGUCAAAAGGGAAACAACCCUGAUCAGCAGCUAAGGUGCCUAAACCAUGCUAAGUGGAAAGGAUGUGGGAUUUCACAGACAGUGAGGAUGUUGGCUUAGAAGCAGCCACCAUUUAAAAAGUGCGUAAUAGCUUACUCAUCGAGAGAUCCUGCGCCGAAAAUGAUCGGCGAUAAGCAUGGUACCGAAGCUCUGGGUGUUCAUCUUAUGGAUGGGCGCGGUAGAGGAGCAUUCCCAACACGCUGAAGGUGGAUGGCGACUGAAACUGGAGAGUUGGGAAGAGAGGAUGCAGACAUGAGUAACGAUAAGACCGGUGAAAUCCCGGUCCGCCGUAAACCCCAGGUUUCCCGGGCUACGUUUUUCGUCCCGGGGUUAGUCGGGACCUAAGCCGAGGCGGAUACGCGUAGGCGAUGGACAGCAGGUUAAUAUUCCUGCACUUGCGAAACUUAAGUAGGGAGGACGCAUGAUGGAAAGCCACUAGGUGAUUGAAUUCCGAGGUGAGGCUACGGCCGAUCCGCAUGGCUGGAAAUUGUGCCGAGAAAAGCCCCUAUGCAUGCUAAGCAACCCGUACCGUAAACCGACACAGGUGGGUGGGUAGAGUAUACCAAGGCGCAAGAGUGAACCCUGGUUAAGGAACUCGGCAAAUUAGCCCCGUAACUUCGGAAGAAGGGGUGCCCCAUGCAAAUGGGGCCGCAGUGAAAUGGCCCAACCGACUGUUUAGCAAAAACACAGCACUCUGCCAAGACGCUAAGUCCAAGUAUAGGGUGUGACACGUGACCAAUGCGGAAAGAUUAAGGUAAGAGGUUAGUCGCAAGGCGAAGCUUUGAGCCCAAGUCCCCGUGAAUGUCGGCCGUAACUAUAACGGUCCUAAGGUAGCGAAAUUCCUUGUCGGGUAAGUUCCGACCUGCACGAAUCGUGUAACG